GUGUCAGCAGCCGCGGUAAUACGUAGGGACCAAGCGUUGUUCGGAUUUACUGGGCGUAAAGGGCGCGUAGGCGGCGUGGUAAGUCAGCUGUGAAAUCUCCGAGCUUAACUCGGAACGGUCAGCUGAUACUGCUGUGCUAGAGUACAGAAGGGGCAAUCGGAAUUCUUGGUGUAGCGGUGAAAUGCGUAGAUAUCAAGAGGAACACCUGAGGUGAAGACGGGUUGCUGGGCUGAUACUGACGCUGAAGCGCGAAAGCUAGGGUAGCAAACGGGAUUAGAUACCCGAGUAGUCC
rnacentral:rRNA from 1 species